rnacentral:lncRNA from 1 species
CCCCCCUUCCAUGCUAUUUUCCAGCACGUGCAGUGCACAUGCUAGUCCCAUUUUUUUCUAUGCUUUGAGAUCAAUGCAUGGGACUGGAUAUUACAUAAUGAUUAUGAAUCACUGUCUAUCUGUGAGUGUUGUUUACUUGAAAAAAUGAUCAACUCAUCUUUUACUGAAAAAGAUGAACGAGCUAGUGAUGUUUUAGAUUUUGUGCAUACUGAUGUAUGUGGACC